ACAUCACAAAAGGGGGGGAAGACACCUUUAUUUCUCGCAUAAAGAUCCACCUAUUUUCUUAUUUACUGCUCCUUCCAUCUUCAAUUUCUCUUUUAGGCUUGAAAUUUAUGGAAGAAACUUUUUGACUUUUCUUUCUUCUUUUUUCAAGAAAAAUGAUUUAUCAUUGAUGUCGUCAUCUAUGGUGUUAAAUCAAAUAAUUUAUCAUUGAAAUUUGUGGGAGAAAUUUCUUGAAUUUUCAUUCUUUUUUUUUUAAGAAAAUAAUUUAUCAUUGAUGUCAUCAACAUCACCGCACCAAUACCAUCAAUGGCGGAAAUCGAUUCCUCCCGAUGCCUUAUUAAAUCAAAGAAAAAAAAUAAAAUUUUGCUUUUUUCAAAGAAAAAGUUGAUCCUUCAAAUGCAAAGUUGUUGAUCAAUCAAAAGAGACACACUUCAAAAGGUAUUAUAUAUAUGUAGCGGAUUAAAAAAAUCAUCAGAUACAUAAUUUUUACUGUUGAGAUACAUAAAUGUCAUCAUUUUCAUGCAUGAGACAUAAGUUUAAUCAUGUAUCUCUAUUCAGUCUAAUUACUGUAUUAUGUGUCAAUCAAAUAGAUUAAAAAUGAAUGUAUCUCAGUAAUAAAUUUUGAUGUUGAGAUACAUAAUUCACAUUAAUUCCAUUCAUGAGACAUAAUUGUAAUUAUGUAUAUCUCUUUAAUAUCUCACCUAAUAACUUCAAAAAUGGAUGUUCUCAGUCAAUAUGACUACUAAUCAAAUUGAUUACUAACUACUCUAUUUUUUUAUAUCUCAAUGCGAGGUAUGCAUUACAUUGUCAAAGAAGUUCCACCGCAUCCGUUAAGAUUUGACAGUUCUUUCUAUGCUAAAAUUCUAAAAGAUUUUAAAGAAAUUCUGAAAGAUGAGGGAAUUGAGUUGUUCCGUCAGACGAGGGGUGAUAUUCUUUUGAAUUUCAAAGAGAGAAGAAGAAUGUUUCAACAAGAUGGAGGGUCCUUUUUUUUAAUAUCAAAAUUAUAAUUAAUUAUGCUUUUCUGGGAAUUGGGACAGUAAUUUUGAAGUUAUGAAGUGUGAUUUCCUUCUCAAUUUCUGUUAUUAUUCUUUUUUAG
rnacentral:lncRNA from 1 species